AAUUAUCAGAUUGGACCUUCGGUUGUCCAUCGGUUUAAUUAUUAAUUUUAAUGAUUUAAAAUUGUUUCUAAGGUAUAUAUCCGAUCCGAUAAUCCGACACGAAAGACACGCUGUUAAGGACCCGCUUCAGAAACAGUAAACAGGUCAUUAACAAUCGGAUCCCACCAAAGGGAAGCCUACGGAAGGGUGGCACCCCCUGGGGGACGGGUUCGACGGCGCAGAAGGGAAUGAUAACUCCGGAGAAAAAUUGGACUCGUUCUGGAAAAAGAAGAUGAUAUCGUGGUACGUCACGAUGAAGGACAGUUUGAAGAAACGCUAUGAAGAUCUGGAUGAAGGGACGAGCGCACUGCGGGUGAUCAAUCCGGUGGCCCUGCUGGACAAGAAAGCCACCCAGCGGAUCGAACUCCGGUUGAGGAACCUGCUGAAGCUUCCGAAGGUGCAAAAAAAAUGUUAGCUACGAAUGGUUUUACAGCAAUAUCGAGCGAGCGCUGCUCGAGGGCGAGAAUGACUUCCAGUUUUGCCCGAGGGAAAUGUAACCGGAUUUGAAAAACAAGGCGUUUGACAAGAGCUGAGUGGAACCAAAUUCGAAGGACUAUGGGAAGUCCAAGACGUUGAUCGGUAGUCGUUUUAGAGGAGGAACGUUGUGAGUUGGAACGCAAGCGGCGUAAGAUUCGGCUACUGCAGUCCAAGCUUUCUUUUAUUCGGAAUCUUCCCAAUGAUAUUCCUCAAGGUGACGGCUCCUUUGCGUUCUCCUCAGGAUGGUCUUUUUACGUAAACCAUGGAGGCGAUUGAUGUGAUGUCCAGUUAAUAUCGGGUGUGUUUCGAUCGACCCGAUUUGAAUGCCCUUACGAUUCCAGACUUCGAGAUUAUAGCCAACGAUAAUCCGGAAAAGAUUAUGCUCUGUACUCUAUCACGAAAGACUUCCAACAUAAGUAUCAGAAUGCUUCAUUCUAUGUCGCUUCACCUGCCGUAAAAACCUCAUCACCAGUAUCGAAGGCGAUCCUUUGCUGGGAGGUAACAGUUAUUCGAAAAUUUCCGGUAUGCCCGAGAUCAAUAUGUUUUUCUUGAAAUAUA